GAGCCAAGCCCUAAACACAACAAAUUCUUCAAAUUGGAGGGGCAAUUGAAGGCCAAAUUUGGAAUUGAAUACAUAGAAACGAUCACCAAGUCAAGGGGAUCGUAAGUUUGACGCGUAACAAGCUAGGUGAGAGCUUGGAGGGAGGAGUGGGUCAAACGGAGCAAGUACGGAAAGAAAAGUGUGGCGUGGAUGCGAGGACCAAUUAGCAAAUUGGAUAAUUACGUCACCAUUGAUGGUGUGAUAAUGAAAACGAGGUAUAAAUCGGGUCUACUUACUGGUCCGGUCCAGGUACGCAUAAUCAUGUUGUAGUUAAGAAUGCUAUUUUGGUCGAAUAAUUUGAGAGAGAGUCCUUCGUCUUAAAAAGGACCAAAAUCGA